rnacentral:rRNA from 1 species
UACGAAGGGUGCAAGCGUUACUCGGAAUUACUGGGCGUAAAGCGUGCGUAGGUGGUUUGUUAAGUCUGAUGUGAAAGCCCUGGGCUCAACCUGGGAACUGCAUUGGAUACUGGCUUACUAGAGUGCGGUAGAGGGGUGUGGAAUUCCCGGUGUAGCAGUGAAAUGCGUAGAUAUCGGGAGGAACAUCUGUGGCGAAGGCGACACCCUGGACCAGCACUGACACUGAGGCACGAAAGCGUGGGGAGCAAACAGG